GGCGGGGGCGGAGCUGGCGCUCUGCACUUCCGGCCCGGGAUUACUACCUCGAGCUGGUGCGCAGACCGCGUCGGAGCCGAGCCCAGCCGGUCAGGAUGAUCACAGACGUGCAGCUCGCCAUCUUCGCCAACAUGCUGGGCGUGUCGCUCUUCCUGCUUGUCGUUCUCUAUCACUACGUGGCUGUCAACAACCCCAAGAAACAGGAAUGAAAGUGGCGCUUUCUCCGCCCCAGGUUUCCAAGUUGGGGGUAUGGCUUCAAGGAGGCACUGAUACAGGGUUCCAGGACAUAGUCUGAGGCAAGAUGGAGGGUGUGAGGGGCCUUCACACUUCACUUCAUCCCUUCUACCCAUCACAACAUACAAAGCAACUACACCUGGAUUUUUCCAAACAACUUUUAUUUCCUCAAAGUCUUCCUUAACCCUAUGGAACAAGAAGCUGCCACUGAGUAGGGCCCAGUAUAGGGGCUGCUUUCUUUUCUACUCCCCACCCAAUAUAAAAAUAUAGA